rnacentral:lncRNA from 1 species
CAUUUGAAGCCACUUCCAAUCUUUCACCUCCAUGAUAGUCAGCUUUUUCUCGCAUAAAACAUCAUCGAUCUACUCCUGUUGGAUGAGCAUAACUUUCACCCUUGCUUGCCAUAGGAAGAAAUUACUUUUUACAUCAUACCAGUUGAUCUCCACCUUGAUUGAGCUUGACUUAUCCAUCUUCUUCAAUCUCGAUCAACACUAUCGCAAUCUAGACAAUCACGCACUCUG